GACGAACGCUGGCGGCGUGCUUAACACAUGCAAGUCGAACGGAAAGGCCCUGCUUUUGUGGGGUGCUCGUGUGGCGAACGGGUGAGUAACACGUGAGUAACCUGCCCUUGACUUUGGGAUAACUUCAGGAAACUCGGGCUAAUACCGGAUAGGAGAUACUGCUGCAUGGUGGGGGUUGGAAAGUUCCGGCGUUUGGGGAUGGACUCGCGGCUUAUCAGCUUGUUGGUGGGGUAGUGGCUUACCAAGGCUUUGACGGGUAGCCGGCCUGGGAGGGUGACCGGGGACCAUACGACUGCGGUACGGACCAGACUCCUACGGGACGCAGUAGGGGAGAGUAUUGCGCAAUGGGCCGGAGCCUGAUGCGGCAGCGCCGCGUGCGGGAUGACGUGCUACGAGUGAUGAACCAAUUUCGACUGUAACAAAGCGUGAUUGACGGUAAUGGGUAAGAAAGCACCGGCUAACUACGUG
rnacentral:rRNA from 1 species